rnacentral:miRNA from 1 species
UGGGGGUGCCGUUGGGGUCAGU